UUCCCUAAUUUAAUUCCGCAAACGACAAUAAUUAUACAUUAAUAAAAAUUAAGAAUUAUGGUGGAUUGAUAAUACCAUCCCAAAGCGUGUCAAAUUUAUGCAAAAUAACAGAGAGCUCAUUCAGGGCUUUUGAAAAAGUAGAUGAAAUAACCAAAAGACAUGCUGUUAAAAAAAUAGAAUGUCUAAUAUUGUCAAAAAUAUUAGGCACAAAUAUCCUUAGUGACCUGCAAGAUCAUAUGGAUCAAGAGGCAGGGUUAAGUCAUUAUCAAAUUAUAAUAAGACUUAUAAUAAAAAGAUACCUUCACAUAAGAAUGCAUCAUUAUGGUAAUAAAGUAAAUCAAAAAUUACAAUUAAAUAUCAGGCAAAAACUAAACAAGGCUGUACUUUUUCAAGGGCAAUAAACCAAGUGAAGAACAAAUUAUCUGAAAAUUUCUAAUGACUUUAUUGGUUAUAAUAAAUUAAUUUUAUUAGACAUAAAUAUAACAUAUAUAUAUUAUUUGUAUUUAUUAUUGAUUUAUAAGAUUAAUAUUUUCUUUUCGCG